rnacentral:rRNA from 1 species
CAGAGGGUUUUGAUCCUGGCUCAGAUUGAACGCUGGCGGGAUGCUUUACAUGCAAGUCGAACGGCAGCACGGACUUCGGUCUGGCGAGUGGCGAACGGGUGAGUAAUGUAUCGGAACGUGCCUAGUAGCGAGGAUAGCUACGCGAAAGCGUAGCUAAUACCGCAUACGCCCUUCGGGGGAAAGCGGGGGACCUUCGGGCCUCGCGCACUAUUAGAGCGGCCGAUAUCGGAUUAGCUAGUUGGUGGGGAGUAGCAGCUGCCAGGCGACGAUCCGUAGCUGGUUUGAGAGGACGACCAGCCACACUGGGACUGAGACACGGCCCAGACUCCUACGGGAAGGCAGCAGUGAAAUUUUGGACAAUGGGGGAAACCUGAUCCAGCCAUCCCGCGUGUGCGAUGAAGGCCUUCGGGUUGUAAAGCACUUUUGGCAGGAAAGAAACGGCACGGGAUAAUACCCCGUGCAACUGACGGUACCUGCAGAAUAAGCACCGGCUAACUACGUGCCAGCAGCCGCGGUAAUACGUAGGGUGCAAGCGUUAAUCGGAAUUACUGGGCGUAAAGCGUGCGCAGGCGGUUCGGAAAGAAAGACGAAAUCCCAGAGCUUAACUUUGGAACUGCAUUUUAACUACCGAGCUAGAGUGUGUCCAGAGGAGGUGGAAUUCCGCGUGUAGCAGUGAAAUGCGUAGAUAUGCGGAGGAACACCGAUAGCGAAGGCAGCCUCCUGGGAUAACACUGACGCUCAUGCACAGAGGCGUGGGAGCAAACCAAGUUAGAUACCCUGGUAGUCCACGCCCUAAACGAUGUCAACUAGCUGUUGGGGCCUUCGGGCCUUGGUAGCGCAACUAACGCGUGAAGUUGACCGCCUGGGAAGUCACGGUCGCAAGAUUAAAACUCAAAGGAAUUGACGGGACCACUGAAGCGGUGGAUGAUGUGGAUUAAUUCGAUGCAACGCGAAAAACCUUACCUACCGCUUGACAUGUCUGGAAUCCCGAAAGAGAUUUGGGAGUGCUCGCAAGAGAACCGGAACACAGGUGCUGCAUGGCUGUCGUCAGCUCGUGUCGUGAGAUGUUGGGUUAAGUCCACAACGAGCGCAACCCUUGUCAUUAGUUGCUACGAAGGGCACUCUAAUGAGACUGCCGGUGACAAACCGGAGGAAGGUGGGGAUGACGUCAAGUCCUCAUGGCCCUUAUGGGUAGAGCUUCCUCAUACAAUGGUCCGGGACAGAGGGUCGCCAACCCGCGAGGGGGAGCCAAUCCCAGAAACCCGAUCGUAGUCCGGAUCGCAGUCUGCAACUCGACUGCGUGAAGUCGGAAUCGCUAGUAAUCGCGGAUCAGCAUGUCGCGGUGAAUACGUUCCCGGGUCUUGUACACCGCCCGUCACACCAUGGGAGUGGGUUUUACCAGAAGUAGUUAGCCUAACCGUAAGGAGGGCGAUUACCACGGUAAGUUCAUGACUGGGGGUGAAGUCGUAAUAAAUG